AACGCGAAGAACCUUACCCGGGUUUGAAAUACAGAGGACGUUAGCAGAAAUGUUAACUCCCGCAAGGGUCUUUGUACAGGUGCUGCAUGGCUGUCGUCAGCUCGUGCCGUGAGGUGUUGGGUUAAGUCCCGCAACGAGCGCAACCCUUAUUAUUAGUUGCCAACACGUAAGGUGGGGACUCUAAUGAGACUGCCUGGGUUAACCAGGAGGAAGGUGAGGAUGAUGUCAAGUCCGCAUGGCCUUUAUAUCCGGGGCUACACACGUGCUACAAUGGUCGGUACAGAAGGCAGCGAAACCGCGAGGUGGAGCAAAUCCCCAAAACCGAUCUCAGUUCGGAUUGGAGUCUGCAACUCGACUCCAUGAAGCUGGAAUCGCUAGUAAUCGCGGAUCAGAACGCCGCGGUGAAUACGUUCCCGGGCCUUGUACACACCGAGUAUA
rnacentral:rRNA from 1 species